rnacentral:rRNA from 1 species
AUUGAACGCUGGCGGCAGGCCUAACACAUGCAAGUCGAACGGUAACAGGAAGAAGCUUGCUUCUUUGCUGACGAGUGGCGGACGGGUGAGUAAUGUCUGGGAAACUGCCUGAUGGAGGGGGAUAACUACUGGAAACGGUAGCUAAUACCGCAUAACGUCGCAAGACCAAAGAGGGGGACCUUCGGGCCUCUUGCCAUCGGAUGUGCCCAGAUGGGAUUAGCUAGUAGGUGGGGUAACGGCUCACCUAGGCGACGAUCCCUAGCUGGUCUGAGAGGAUGACCAGCCACACUGGAACUGAGACACGGUCCAGACACCUACGGGAGGCAGCAGUGGGGAAUAUUGCACAAUGGGCGCAAGCCUGAUGCAGCCAGGCCGCGUGUAUGAAGAAGGCCUUCGGGUUGUAAAGUACUUUCAGCGGGGAGGAAGGGAGUAAAGUUAAUACCUUUGCUCAUUGACGUUACCCGCAGAAGAAGCACCGGCUAACUCCGU